rnacentral:rRNA from 1 species
UACGUAGGGCGCAAGCGUUAUCCGGAAUUAUUGGGCGUAAAGAGCUCGUAGGUGGUUUGUCGCGUUGUUCGUGAAAACUCACAGCUCAACUGUGGGCGUGCGGGCGAUACGGGCAGACUGGAGUACUGCAGGGGAGACUGGAAUUCCUGGUGUAGCGGUGGAAUGCGCAGAGUAUCAGGAGGAACACCGGUGGCGAAGGCGGGUCUCUGGGCAGUAACUGACGCUGAGGAGCGAAAGCGUGGGGAGCGAACAGG